UCUUGACUCCACCUCUUCUAGAUUUUAAGGGCUGACCACCACUAAGGCAGCAUCACUUGGAGAUUGCUUCUCUGUGGAGAUUGUCUCAGUGUUUUCCAGACUGAAGGCUUCUAUACUGGAUGGGAAUAGCUCACAGCAGCCGAACCAUGAGCGGCGGAACGCUUUGCUGAAUGGGAGUUUUCAUCAUGCUGCCACGCUGCUUGACCUCCAAAUGCGUCGACACACUGCAGUAUCACUUAGACUGGGAAAGAAUGUCGCUGUGCUAUUGCCCAGGAGAUUCAGGAGGAUCCCAUUACAGCUAUGCAGUGCCUGUGUGUAAUGGCAAAAAGCAAGUAUGUAAGAAAACACAGUCUUAACUUAAGGACCCACUGCAGUCCAUCAGAUAAACCCAGCAUUUAAGGAUAAUACAAACGCCCAUUGUCAUCCAGGCACGCUCUUUACUUCUUAAAUAAUGUCUGCAGCAUGGUCUGCUUUUUUCUUAUGCAGUUAUCACAGCUCUGAAUGAUACAUUAAAAUUAUUCUUUGCAACCCCAUUUUAUUUCUUUUGUCCUUUAAAAUUACAUACUACUAACAGAUCAGAGGAAUGCUGCUGGUUUUCAACUUGAAGACAUAAGAAAUCCUAAAUAUAUAUAUUAAAAAAUCCAGGCUUGCAGAGCAGAUACCUUUUUGCUUUAUCAGCUGCUACGCCUGGAAGGAAAAAGGAUUCUCCACCCAAUGAUUUGGCCUCUUCGUCAGCUGUCUGGGCUGAGGAGAUGAACCCUACUCCUGUGCAAGGCACUUGGGCUGUGCUACCCUGCAUAAGAGCUGUCGCUUGGUUUUAUAGACUGCAAAAUGUCCCAAGGGUGGACUGGCCCAAUUGUUUCCUGGCUAGCAAGAAACAAAGGAAGGAAGGCCCUUUCUCUGGAGGCAGUUCAUCGAUCAGUGGGAUGCUGUGCUAUGAUGCACCACAAGGGAAGGAGAGCUCUGAGGGUCUGCAGGCAGGAAUGAAACAGUACAGCUGCACUCAUAUUCUGUCCCAAGUGAGGCAGAAAAUGGUAUAUACCUACCCCUCAGUUUCUCUCCAGGUCAAUUUCUAAACAAAGCUGUAGCAGUUCACUAUCCUGUUAUUUUUGCUAUGGCAGAAAGCAAGAACAAAAUGGUAAGCUCUUUGCUUGUGGCUGUGCAACAAAUCAGUCACCAGCAAAGAAUCCAUCACCAUUUCAUACAUAGCUUUAUAAACAGACCUUUUGGAACACAGCAAGAAUAGAUGGCCACCUCUCUGUCUUCAGUGAGAGCAGAAGUGCAGCCAUACCAGCUCCUUAUUCCUGUAUAGAGCAGUAGUGUUUGCUGGCUUUGUGCAUCCUGUAAAGUGACUGGCCUGAAAUACAGCAUUUAAGGGAUUAAAAAAAAAACCAACAAUUACCUGCUAUCUAAUGUAACUUUGCUGUCCUUACAGACCAGCAGUGUCCUCAACUAAAGCUAAUAGUGGUACAGAUCUCUGCAACAGAGUCUCUGUGAAAUGCACACAAUAGCCCGAUAAAAUACUAACAUAGGAGUAGGCAGACAUAAAAGGGCCAUAUAUUCAAAAUGCAUGAGUCUUGAUUUGCACCAAUAAAAGGCACAGGGCCAUGCAUCUUACAGGAAGCUGUACAUGCAUAAUUCAUACCAGUGAACAUAAAUGGCUGCUUGCAUAUGCAUAUACCUGUUUUCAUAUGCCUUUACCAAUACACUGGAGUAAUCGUUUGCCCAUAAAUGCACAUGCAUCUUCAGAUAUGAGAUUGGAACGUGUCCCCUGGCAUCUUUACACAUAUUUCUGUUUCUUCUCCCUGCUCUCUCAAUUAUGCCUUGUAAGAGGUCCUCAUAAAUCUCCACCUUUCUGCUGCGUUUUUUUUUCUUCCCAUCACCCUUUUUAUAACCAGGCCUGCAUAUCUUUGUUAUUUCUGUGGCAUUUCCAGUGCUGCUUUCUAAAAUGUCAACUCAGACUUGUCUGUUUUUAACCAAGUGACAAUGUGAUUAUCACUUCUCUCUUGGUCUCAGGCCAUGCCCUGACCACCUUGCUUUACUUAAUCAGCACAA